UGAAAUUGUGAGUAUGGUUCAGAAUUCGUUCAGUUCCGUGUGAAGAAGGGUCGAUUGGGUCAUAAUCAUACCGAUCGUGUCCAAAAGUAAAUAUUAUAGUAUCUAUUAAAUAUUUUAUUAAAAUUUAAUUAUUAAUUUUGAUCAAUUUUAAGGUGGCGUUUAUAAACAUUCCAACGCAUCAUUUUUAUUCUCCCUACGCAACAAAGACAACCUUGCUCCAUUUAUUGCCAACAUCAAGCAAGGUCAGGAGCAGGAUGCAAUCUACUGUCGCUCUGCUUAUGGACCAACCUUUGGUGGAGGUAAUGAUCUGUACAUUUCUAACAAUGCACAAGUUAAUCAAUCACACAGUUACUUUGGAUACACAUACCAACUUCCUCCUGGUUAUGUCGAUUGCGGUGAACAAGCAAAGAGCCUUCUUGCUGGUCAGUACCAAUUCUUAACGACAGAAAUUCUUCAGUCUUCAACUGAAAAGUGCCUUUGUUUACUUACUUCAACGAAAAAUAACAUUACAUUGAUUAUACGACCGGUCUUAGAUGCAAUCACUUUUGGACAGUGAUUUUGCGAUGUUAUAAAGUAUUAAGAAUUAAUAUGAAUAUUCUGAGUCAUGCACUGUAGGAAUUUAAAAAUUAAAAUUGGUCGUUUGCCUCAACAGUAGCGGUUACUGGAGUCAACAAAUGAAAGGCGUUGAAGAAAACUUGUGAAAAACCGAUUGUUAUACAGCCGACGGUAUAACCAAUUAUCUAAUCAACAUAUAGCCUAGGUAAAUGUUCGAAAAUUGGAAGAACAUUUAAUUUUCGAUCGACCACUUUAAAUCGGAUUGCAUCUGACCAUUUUUCAUCGCAAUGACAUAAAAACGAUGUCAUUUUGCAGCUAAAAGCCUAUCUUUAUUAGUGUGCGAAAAGUAAAUCUUUAAACUUAGUAUCUAUAAUAUACGAUAACAUGCUGAAAUUGUUUUACUUUUUUAUAUACACCCUGCACUAUACAUGUUGAAUGGUUUUCGAGAUUUCCAUCUAUAAAAAACCAUUCAACAUUUAAUAUCGACUGAGAUGCCUGAAAUCCUGAUAUUUCCCCAUAUACCUUACACUGGCAUCACGUAGUAUGUACUGUAUACAUGAACUUGUGGUUAAAACUCGACAAGUGGAUUCUGUAGCUCAGUUGGUUAGAGCGCUGCACCGGAAUCGCAGGGCCGCAGGUUUGAUUCCUGUCAGAGGGCCUAUAUAGUUGCAUUUUUUGCAGUUGCUCCUGGUUUGGUGUAUAAACGUAUAAAAUUUACACUCGAGAUUUCCAUCUACAACAACCCUUCAACAUUUAGUAUCGAGUGAGGUGUCCAAAAUCCUGUAUUAUAUGUACCUUUUUUCCUUCAUCAUGAUAUAGUCGUAAUCAAUGACUUGUCAGUUUUCUCAGUAAUUUUUGUAUGUACAUAUUCAAUUUAUUAUGAACAUGGCCGCCGAGAGGUUGAGCCUGGGUUGGGUUAAAACUUUCCAAGGGGGGCCCUAUGACGUCAUAGUUGUAAAAGGGGAGAAGCGUGUUUUACAAUAUAUCACACUUUAUUACAUAUUAU